UAAGAAGGUUGAUAUUCAACCAUUGCAAUAUAAAUGGUUAAGACAAUUUGAAAUGGCAAUGUUUAUGUCGAGAUGACUCUAAAUUUAAAUAUGAAUUUUUUUCGAGAUGGUAUGCUAAUGGCUUAUAUUUGAAAAAAUGGGAUGCUGAUAUUGUGCCUAAAUGACUUGGGAUGCCAAAUUUUAUAUGUGAGCCUAAAGAGAUCCUAAAUUUGAUACAUUUUGAUGAUGAUGUUGUGCAUUGAUUACUUUCGAUUCAAAAUUCGGUAUUUUAGCCUAGAUAAUCUUAAAUUUAAUAAGUUGGGAUAAUAAUAUCGCUUCUCGGAUACCUUGGAUUCAAAGCUUGUCAAAAAAAAAAAAAGUUUUAGUACUUCAAUUUAUGAAUAAUAAACGUCUUAUCACCAUUGUGUGAUGAUUCUCUUAUAGGUUGAAGACUUUUAGCCCAGAAAAGGAAAUCAAUAUGUUAUGGCUGCAAAAAUGAUAGUUCAAGUAGCUUUGAAUAGAGACAACUUCCCAAGAUAUUAAUUAACCUUGAUGAUUGAGACCUUGAAGACAUACAUUUAAUAUAUUUAUUCUUUUAAAAUUCUUGAGUUUAGGAUCAUUCUAUUUGAACUAAUAUUUUAUUCUAAUAGUUCUUUUUACCACCUUAGUGACUCACCUUAAUAUGUUCUAUAGAUUUAUCUAUGCUUUAUUUAGAAAUGUGGUAAUGCGAUUAUCAAUUUAACACUGCUUUCAUCUCUUACUAUGUUAUUUGAAAUUCGAUAUACAUUUUAACCACUCUGUGAAGUUUCACUGGUUUUCAAGAGUACAAAUGUUUGUGUAAGAUAGAGGAGAAGUGCAACAGCACAUACCAGUCAUUAUUCCAAUUUCCAAUCAUUAUGGCCAGUAACUUUUAUAUAUGUUUAAUCAUAUAUGUGAAAGCUCUUUUGAGCUAUGUUCAUUUUUUCUUCUGUGUUAGUAUUGUCCUUGUUCUAAGAGGACUUGUUUGUGCUUCUCUACUUCUAACUACUGCUUCAUUGUUCUUCUAGAUGUCUAUCUUGUAGGAACGGUGAUGUUGAUCUUUAGAAUGGGUCCUACGAGCUCUUUGUCGUUAAUCUUGGUAGUGCAAGCUCACUACCGGAUCAAAAACCUUCUGAUAGAUCAAAUCUUUUUGGCUUACUCACUUUGAAGGACUUGAUAUUGCUACUGCCUCUUCAAAUAUGAAAAAGCUGAAUUGAGAGAAAGAUGUGCAGAAUGUAGAUUUAUUUUAUGGAGAAGUUUAAAAGGGCUUUCACUGGCUCAAAGAUUGUACAUAUAGUACCUGCAGCAAAAACUAAGUACAGGAUUGUUUGUGUGGCUACAUAUCCUUUGAUUUAAAUGAAGACUUCAAUUCAUGUUUUAUAAACUCAAGAAGUUAUAUGGUAUUUUGUGGAGGGAAGUAACUUAAGUCUUUGUCUAUUCUCACUGUCUUGUAAAUUAGAUGCAGGUAUUAUCAAAACUUUUUUCAUGAAUGGAUAAGAACUCGUAAAUAAGAUUAUGCUUUAUGUUUGUUAAUUAGUAUUGAUUUUGAAGAUGAGCAAGCUAUGGUGUUUUCCUAUGCUUGAUUUAUUGCGGGGACUUUUCAUUUA